GAUGAAGAACGCAGUGAAAUGCGAUAAGUAAUGCGAAUUGCAGAAUUCAGUGAAUCAUCGAAUCUUUGAACGCACAUUGCGCCCGCCAGUAUUCUGGCGGGCAUGCCUGUCUGAGCGUCGUUUCGACCCUCGCGCCCGGCUUCUGUCGGGGGCGGUGUUGGGGAUCGGCCACACCCUUCAGUGGGAGGCCGGCCCCUAAAUUCAGUGGCGACCACGCUGUAGCCUCCCCUGCGUAGUACUAAAACCACCUCGCAGGCGGAGAGCGGUGCGGCCCGCCGUAAAACCCCCCAACUUUUACAAGGUCGACCUCAGAUCAGGUAGGAAUACCCGCUGAACUUAAGCAUAUCAAUAAGCGGAGA
rnacentral:misc_RNA from 1 species